GAAUCUAUUGCUGAUGAUCUCUCAAAAUCAACAAUCUUUGGCUCGUGACAAAUCAGAUGGUAGUGAACAGUCAAGUAAAAGAUGAUAUCCGAUAACGGUUUACUAGUAUAUCGAACAGGAUAAAAUUUGGAAAUCUACCAGCAAGAGAAAAGAUACCACGAAACGUUAAAAAACCAGCAUCAGGAAAUGUUCUACAGGUAUUGUUACAAAAUAAUCAUAGGCUUCAUAAAGGACGAAAAUAAUCACACGGAAAUAGUUGGACAAUCACAGAUGGAACAAGAACAACUUUUGUUUAAAGAUUAUCGCCCUUCUACAGUCUUGUUGAAGCAUUUAUCAGACCCAGACAUUAUAUGUAUUUUGCAUUAGCUACUUUACAACAAUAACAUAAAUUAAAACUCUCUACGGUAUUUCUGAAUUCACUUCUUGCUAAAUAUUCUCGAACAAAUAGAAAACUCAGAAGGUGAAAAGAACGAACUGAAAAUCAACCUUUUAUUGUGAGAAAUAUAAUGCAAUAGCUUCGUUCAAAUGUUUACAACUUUCCACAGAAGAUGAGCCAGUUGUUGACCAACCUAACAGUUAUCAAGUAGACAUUCCAGUGAAACAGAAUCCACUAAUUAGUAGCUCGACCAGCAAAUCUAUGACAUAUCGUGACAUAUUCCAAAAGAAGCUGAUGUAUCUAGGUCUUAGAAAUAAAUUGCAAUAAAAAAACCACGAACAGACUGCUUUCAACUUAGACAAAUGUGUAUAUAUAUAUCACUCUUUUAUAGAUAGUUUGGGGGGAUUUUUCAUAUUAGAUAUUCGGUGAAAUGGGCGUCAACUGCCUAAUAGAAAAACAAUAGUAAAUAUAUAUAUAUAUAUAUAUAUAUUGGGGACUAUACACUCUAAUUCAAGUGUAGAGGACGACAAGAGGUAAGUUUCCAAUUCCAUCCAAUCAUGAUAGGUAUUUGGAUAAUUCUGAAACUGGGGUGCUCGAGGAUUCAGCAAUCUUCCUUCACUUCGCUUCCAGCUAUAGUUAAUAACUGAGCGAUAUAUAUGUAUACACACAAAUAUAUACAUACAUUUAGAUACAUUCCUACAUACGCACUUCAUGUACACCUAAACACACACAUGAAUAUGUACAUUUUAAGAAGGGUAAAAUUAUCACUUGUUUUCCCGAAGUAAUGGUUACUACUCGUGUUGACAGAAAAGAAGGAGGCAGUGAAGAAAGGGAGGCCCAGCAGUUGAAAAGUUAACAGAAACCCAACAAACGGCCCAUAUUAAACUUACAGUCCUUGAGCGAAGCGGAAAUCUAUAAAUAAUAUGCAUGAAAUGAGAUCAACAAUACCAAUAUCCGAGAAUUAAAUGUGACGGAGGUACCCACUUUCACUGGUCAGGCGCCAAAAAUUCUAUAUGGUCAGAACCCAAGAUAUUACGUAAAGGCUCAUAAAUAGAGAUUAAGUGACAUUGUUAUACUUAAUUUUCAAAAUAUGAAAGGCUGUAGUAAGCUAAAAAGUUGCCCAUACUAACUCUCCCUGUGCACUUGCUCUCGUGAAUCUUAUUUCUUUGAUAAGGUCUGGAAGAACUCGUCUAAGGGCCCUUGGAUGUAAGAACCGAAUGUGAAGUAAAGAGAAACAGUCUGUAAGCAUCCACAUCCUGACAUAAACAUAUCGAUAGAGGAUUCAAUGGGCCAAUCCCAUCAGGAAAGAAAGGAAGAGGACCAUGAAAAAAAGAGGGGUCCUAGGAUAGGGACAGACGAAGAUGUGGACCCCUAAAGGGAGAGAUCCAUGAUAAGGCACACCAAACAGCCCAAUAGGACACAGAAGCCAAGUGUGAAUGGUCCAAUGGGCGAGAGAAACAGAGAGAGAGAAGUACGGUUUACCUGCUGAGCCAUCAAAGUCCGAGGAAGAAAAGAUCAAUCUAGGGAGAGGAAAAUAUAAAUGCAGCGGAAGAGGCUGCAAGACACAUCUAAAGGAACAACAGUAGUCGAAGGAGAGAAGUAGAGAAAAUAAGUCAGGACAGAAAGAUGGUACACAUCAGUAGGUUUAAACUGAGGAAUUAUCUACCGUUGCUGGUUGCUAGUUGAUUCACUGAACGGGUUUCUAUAGGAUGUCUAGCAUAUUGAUAACACAGGCCUGCAAUGAUAAAAAUUGAGAUUUGUACAUUGUCUACAAUAACGCAUACGUUGAAUCCGAAAAUGAUAUCCAUUUUUCUCCAUCUCGUACAGAUUUUUCACAA
rnacentral:lncRNA from 1 species